AACGAACGCUGGCGGCAGGCUUAACACAUGCAAGUCGAGCGCCCCGCAAGGGGAGCGGCAGACGGGUGAGUAACGCGUGGGAAUCUACCCAUCUCUACGGAAUAACGCAUGGAAACGUGUGCUAAUACCGGAUACGCCCUUUGGGGGAAAGAUUUAUCGCCGAAAGAUCGGCCCGCGUCUGAUUAGCUAGUUGGUGAGGUAAUGGCUCACCAAGGCGACGAUCAGUAGCUGGUCUGAGAGGAUGAUCAGCCACACUGGGACUGAGACACGGCCCAGACUCCUACGGGAGGCAGCAGUGGGGAAUAUUGGACAAUGGGCGCAAGCCUGAUCCAGCCAUGCCGCGUGUGUGAUGAAGGCCUUAGGGUUGUAAAGCACUUUUGUCCGGGAAGAUAAUGACUGUACCGGAAGAAUAAGCCCCGGCUAACUUCGUGCCAGCAGCCGCGGUAAAACCUAAGACUGCCAAGGCACAC
rnacentral:rRNA from 1 species